AUUUAAUGGGUGGGCCAAUUAAGAUAUAUAUGCACUUUUAAUGUGUAACUUUUGUAUGCUGAAUGGUACUUUUUUUUUUUUUUGCUUUUGAGGAAAUUAAUAAGGUAUAAUUAACUGUCUUAACUUUGGAAAAAAAUUUUUUAAGACAGAUGGAGGCAACUGGGGUGUUUGUGAUAACAGAUAAGAACGAUUUUCUUCAUUAUAGUUAAGUUGGUUUGGAUUUCAGAUAUUCAUUAUUGAAUUAACUCCUGUUUUAUCAUACUUUGGAGAAGGCACCUGAACAGUAGAUGAAUCCUGGCCAGUCUGUACUCCUAACAACAAUGAACUGGUAUUAUUUGCAGACAAAAGGAGAGAACCCUUAGAAAUAUGUCAGAUUACACUCUAAAACCUAUUUUCAUCCCUAGCUUUCUCCUUUCUGUCUCAGUUACUAUACCAACAUUAUGGAUGAUGUUGAAAUUCUGCAUAAUGUGAACAGGAUAAACUAUUUAUAAACUGCUUUUCAUGGGCCAGUUCUUUAUUAUAAAUGAAUUUUAGCUUUAAACACAUAGACAUCUUCAGUUUUUGAUAGCUCUGUUCACAGCAGAGGUCUGUUCUGGUGCAGUGUCCUGGAGAAAGCAGGAGCAAUCAGUGCCAAAUCACUGCUUUUUUUUUUUUUUUUUUUUGUUAAUCAGUGGCAGUAUGCUUCUUGGGCAAGAUUUAUGUAUGACCACAAAGGGAAAAGGUGUCACUGGAAAAGAAAAAAAUGCAUAUACCUCUGUAUUUGCAUAUAUAAUGUUAUUUCCAGAUAAUUGGAAAACUCCCCUUAAGAUUUUUGCCAAGGGAGUUCCCCGGUGGUCUAGUGGUUAGGAUUUGGCACUUUCACCACUGCUGCCCAGGUUCAACCCCUUGUCUAGGAACAGAGAUCCCACAUCAAGCCACUGCAUGCCAUGGCAAAAAAAAAAAAAUUGCCAGGGUCUUAUAAGAAAACAAGGCUAUUUUAUUCCUCAGGCUAUAGAAUUUUAUUGUCAUGUAUCAAAAAAGUACUGGUGUAUCCAUUUUUAUCACAUGCACACAGGCACAUUGUGAAUUAAUUCACUGCUUGAAUCUACAUUUCUAACCAUAGUGACUUCAGUAAUAACACAUAAUGAACAUUUCAACUUACCCUUAUUUACUUAGUGUUUUUGCAGAUCUGAAGGGUUUUAUUAUAAAGUUUGGUUUUUUUUUUUUUUUAGUUUUAGUAGCACAUUUUGUACCAAAAAUGUCAAACACUGUGCUGUAAGAAGAUCCACAUUUGUAGAAAUGUCCACUUCUCAGAUAAUAUAAUGCCUAUUAUACUAACAGAAUCAUAUGAUCGUUGAUUUAUUUUUUUAUUUAUUAUGUAUAUUUUUGGUAUUGUGGGUUCUUGAGGCAGUGAUACAAAAUGUUAAUGUAUUCUGACAUGAGUGCUCUAAUAGCCUUUUUUCUUUCAUUUUUAAACUACACACAUUAUUUUCAGUAGGCACAGACUUUGUCCAGAGCAAUGUUGCCUUUUGAACUAUAAGCCUGCUCCUGUUUCCCUUUUGUCGCCUAAACAGAGCUUUUUCUUAGAAAAGUAGUAACUGGUUUUAAAUGUUGAGUAUUAUAAAAGUAACCAUUGGAAAGCUGUUCUUUAGAUUGAGAUACAGAAACACUAUAUUUGUGCCUUUUUCAUUUUUAAUUUUAUCUUGUAUCGAUACUUGGAGCACAAAUAUGAAGGUGCCAUAACAUUAUGGCCUGCCAUUGUUACCUCCUUGAAUACUCAUGUGUCAUUGUCUUGAAAUAGUAAUUGGAGAUCCUUGCAUGUAUUACGUGGUAUUUUGGGGGUGUGCGUGUGUGUGUGUGUGUGUGUGUGUGUGUGUGUAAGUGUAUGUGUGUUCACGUACUUAUAUUCACUUGGACUUGUGUGUGAUAUGUUCAAAAGAGUGAAUUUCUUAAAAUAGGACUCAGUUAAAUGUUGAAAGUUUAGAUUAGUUGAAAUGUAUUCCAUUUAAAUGUGCUUUUGGGGGGGGUAAAUUGAGAGGAAAUUGUAAUUCUCAAAAAUGUGACCAAUUUACUGCAUGAUGAAAUGUGAAAACAGUGCCUUUUUAGGACAUCAGUUUUAAAAUUAAGUUUUAAAAUAUUAACAAAGAUCUUUUAAAAGGUGUCAUGAACAUUCUUGGUUUAUUUUUAAACUAGACCUAAGUUAGAGCUUAAAUUGCCAAAAGUAUAAUGACUAAUUUAUUUCCCCGUUUAAGUUUUGCACAAAUUCAGAACCUAAGCAGAAUUCUUUAUGAAGUUGUAGAUCAUAGAUGCUACCAAGUGUUACUAAAAGAGAACACUAGGGACUUUGGUAAGUUGUUUUGUUAAAAUCCAAGUCAACAAUCUUUUCUCAAAGCCAAGUCUACUUAAAGAGGUGAGUUAUUCUGAGUUGGAUGUUCAUGCUCUUUCAUGGAUAAAGUAAAAAUAUUCAGUGUAUUCUUGCAGAACAAGGUGGAUGGGUGGAUUUUAGUGUUUUCAGAUUACAAAGACAGCACUUUCAGCACACUUAAGAGUAUUUUGCAAACCUCUUUUAUACAGAUUAUGAGCUCUACUUUGUUUAAAUGUUAAAUGAAAUGAUGUAAAUUUUAGGUCCAGCUGAACAAAUAUUGAGUGCCUACCAUGCAAGACUUCCUCUUCACUAGGAAUGAAAUCACCACACCGUGUCUUCUGUUUGCAAUAUGUGAACUUUGUGUUUGAAAAGGAAUUCUUAUAUUUAAACCUUUUUCUGUUGUUGAGAGUUUAUCAUUGUAUACUGUAACCCAGUUAAUUUUCUUUCAGUUUUUUAGAAUGAAGAUAUAACUUAAGUGAGUCCCAAUUUUGAAAAUAAAAUUCUGCUGGAAUUAUUUAAAAAUUAGUUCUGGGGGAAAUUAAUUUUCAAGAUUAAAAUGUGUAAAGACUUAUAUUGAACUUUUCAGCCUCAUUUUUAAUCAGCUGAUGUCAAUGAUGAGAUACAUACUUUGUAUCUUGUUGCUGAAAAUAUUUUUUGCAUUUCAGCACGUUGAGUUAAAAUAAAGUUGUUACUACUUAUUCAGAAUUAGUUGCUUUGUGUUUAUUCGAAAAGUAUGAAAAAUUCUUUUUCAACUUACUAUGAUGCUCUACAGAAACAGCCAUGUGUUUGAUACAAUAACUUGUAGCAUUAUGCAUAAUCAUCUUUUCUACAUAGGAAGCUACUGGGGUUUUUUCUUUGAAACCUACUAAAGACUUAUUCCUUAACUCUGAGAUACUACAUGUACAUGCACUUUAAUAUAUGCAUAUCAAUAUCAAUAACAUAGCAGUAUUGAAUGGCUUCUGCUAAUUUUAUGUAAUUUAAU
rnacentral:lncRNA from 1 species